UACGGAGGAUCCAAGCGUUAUCCGGAAUCAUUGGGUUUAAAGGGUCCGCAGGCGGCUUAUUAAGUCAGUGGUGAAAUCUGUACGCUUAACGUAAGAACGGCAAUUGAUACUGUUAAGCUUGAAUUUUUAGGAAGUAACUAGAAUAUGUAGUGUAGCGGUGAAAUGCUUAGAGAUUACAUGGAAUACCAAUUGCGAAGGCAGGUUACUACUAAUGGAUUGACGCUGAUGGACGAAAGCGUGGGUAGCGAACAGGAUGAGAUACCCUGGUAGUCCACGCCGUAAACGAUGGAUACUAGCUGUUGGGAGCAAUCUCAGUGGCUAAGCGAAAGUGAUAAGUAUCCCACCUGGGGAGUACGUUCGCAAGAAUG
rnacentral:rRNA from 1 species